CCUACGGGUGGCAGCAGUGAGGAAUAUUGGUCAAUGGGCUAAGGCCUGAACCAGCCAAGUCGCGUGAGGGAAGACGGUCCUAUGGAUUGUAAACCUCUUUUGUCGGGGAGCAACGAGGCCACGUGUGGCCGAAGUGCGAGUACCCGAAGAAAAAGCAUCGGCUAACUCCGUGCCAGCAGCCGCGGUAAUACGGAGGAUGCGAGCGUUAUCCGGAUUUAUUGGGUUUAAAGGGUGCGCAGGCGGAUUUUUAAGUCAGCGGUCAAAUCGUGGGGCUCAACCCCACCCAGCCGUGGAAACUGGGGUUCUAGAGUUUGCGAGAGGUAUGCGGAAUGCGUGGGGUAGCGGUGAAAUGCAUAGAUAUCACGCAGAACCCCGAUUGCGAAGGCAGCAUACCGGUGCACAACUGACGCUCAGGCACGAAAGCGUGGGUAUCGAACAGGAUUAGAUACCCCUGUAGUC
rnacentral:rRNA from 1 species